UUGUACCUCCUUCAGCCUCCUGUAGAGUUAUCCCAAUUCUUCAUCUAAUGUAUCUGGAUCACUCAAAGAACUCCUAAUACAGAUAUGAAGCAAAGAGCUGAGGGAUGAUCUAUAUUUCCCUUCUGGAAGAGGCAUGAUCAGAGGAAAGAACUAUAUAGGCUAAAAUUCUGCAGAAGAAGUGUUGAGGGUGCUUCCAGAAAGAAAUUAAAUAUUGUAAACAGGAAAAUCCAGGCAGAUUUAUGAGGAAAUGGGAUUGGUAAACAUGCAGAAAUGCCAUGGACUGAAAAUGGACUGAUUCAUCCAUCCCUGUUUCCAAGGUUGAAGAUGUCAG